AACGAGAACAACAAACUUACUAAAAAAAAGAACAAAAAAAAAAAACUUCAAAUAUACUCAUAUGAUUUCGCAUUUUCUUACUUUAGUACCCUAUGAUUUAGAGUGUAUCAAAUUAGUAUUUUAUGAUUUUAUUUUAUUUUUUUCGUUAGCUCCUCUGUUAAUAUUUUGUUAAAUUAUAUACAGAAAAAUUUCAGAUACCCUACUUAGAUUUAUCGAAUAUUCACUUUAGUACUAUUUAGUUUUAACUUUGUCACUGAUUCGACGAAAGAAAAUUAGUGAAAUGGAUAAUAAAAAGAAAAAAAUAAAAUUUUAUGGUACUAAAUUGGUAUAUUUUAAACUACAGAAUAUUAAAUCAUUUCUCUUUUUUUUUUUCUUUUUAUUUUUUUAGAGAAAACUUUAAAUAUCACUUUUGUGGUUUCACACUUUCUCACUUUAAUAUCCUCCGCAUCUGUUCGCUCAACAACACUCGUGCGGUGUUCUAAACCCUAAACCUUCCCCAAUUUGGCGGGAAAUUUGCAAAAAAAAAAAAAAAAAAAAAAAAAAAAAAAAAAAACCCCAAC
rnacentral:lncRNA from 1 species